rnacentral:lncRNA from 1 species
AGGUCCAACAAUCAGCAGGUCGUUCGCUCCAAUGUUCCCCCCAGACGGAGCCUCUAAUUCUUCACUCGGAGCAUCUUCAACAACAAUAAAUCAGUCAAAAUGAAUGAUAAUAGAGAAGAUAAAUUCAUAAAAAGAUGCAUAAUAUCUUAGGAGUAAAGCAUGAAACAUUUUUGGUAAACAUGCAGUCAUCAGCAUCUGAACAACCCCGUUCAAUGGGAGACUUGAAACUGCCUACUUAUUUGCCAGCAAUAACAUAAAUUCCUCUAAACAUAACUAAGUCAGGAAAUACAUAAACAUUCAAUACUGCAUAGGACUCGACCUAAUUAACACCUUUUAAAUAUCUGAUUGCUAAGAAGAAAUUUCCGUAUAGCCCCGGUGAUAUGAGCAAGAGAUAGAAGCAAAUGUGCAAGUACAUAUGCAAAUGAACUCUAAUCGCAGUCGACUAAGAAAAGUAGAAAGCAAAAGCUAGUCCUUUUCAAAUAAGCAACGGUUGAUCAGCAAAUUUGUCGUCCCAAAGCGGUAAUUCGUAAUCAGAAUUAUGUGGG